rnacentral:rRNA from 1 species
GAACGGUGAAGCAGAGCUUGCUCUGUGGAUCAGUGGCGAACGGGUGAGUAACACGUGAGCAAUCUGCCCCUGACUCUGGGAUAAGCGCUGGAAACGGCGUCUAAUACCGGAUACGAGCUGCGAAGGCAUCUUCAGCAGCUGGAAAGAAUUUCGGUCAGGGAUGAGCUCAGCGGCCUAUCAGCUUGUUGGUGAGGUAACGGCUCACCAAGGCGUCGACGGGUAGCCGGCCUGAGAGGGUGACCGGCCACACUGGGACUGAGUACACGGCCCAGACUCCUACGGGAGGCAGCAGCUGGGGAAUAUUGCACAAUGGGCGAAAGCCUGAUGCAGCAACGCCGCGUGAGGGACGACGGCCUUCGGGUUGUAAACCUCUUUUAGCAGGAAAGAAGCGAAAGUGACGGUACCUGCAGAAAAAGCGCCGGCUAACUACGUGCCAGCAGCCGCGGUAAUUCGACGUAGGGCGCAAGCGUUAUCUCGGAAUUAUUGGGCGUAAAGUAGCAUCGUAGGCAGGUCUGUCGCCGUCUGCUGUGAAAACCCGAGGCUCAACCUCGGGCCUGCAGUGGGUACGGGCAGACUAGAGUGCGCUGUAGGGGAGAUUGGAAUUACGCUGGUGUAGCUGACUGGGAAUGCGCAAGAUAUCAAGGAGGAACACCGAUGGCGAAGGCAGAUCUCUGGGCCGUAACUGACGCUGAGGAGCGAAAGGGACUGGGUGGAGCAAACAGGCUUUAGAUACCCUGGUAGUCCACCCCCGUAAACGUUGGGAACCUAGGUUGUGGGGGUUCAUUUCUCCACGGAUUUCGUUACGCAGCUUAAAGUCCAUUAAAAUUUCCCUGCUGGUGGACGAUAUCUGGUCCAGGCAAUGGGCAACUCUUUGGACGACUAGAAACAGGUGGUGCAAUGGUUGUUGACAGCUCGUGUCGUGAAAUGAUGGGAUAAGUGCGCGCAUUAGAGCGCUAACCCUCGUUGCUAAUGUUGCCAGCAACGUAAUGGUGGCUACUCAUGGGAUACUGCCGGGGUCAACUCGGAGGAAGGUGGGGAUGACGUCAAAUCAUCAUGCCCCUUAUGUCUUGGGCUUCACAGCAUGCUACAAUGGCCUGCGUACAAAGGGCUAGCAAUACCGCGAGGUGGAGCGAAUCCCAAAAAGCCGGUCCCAGUUCGGAUUGAGGUCUGCAACUCGACCUCAUGAAGUCGGAGUCGCUAGUAAUCGCAGAUCAGCAACGCUGCGGUGAAUACGUUCCCGGGUCUUGUACACACCGCCCGUCAAGUCAUGAAAGUCGGUAACACCUGAAGGCGGUGGCCCAACCCUUG